rnacentral:rRNA from 1 species
UACAGAGGUCUCAAGCGUUGUUCGGAUUCAUUGGGCGUAAAGGGUGUGUAGGUGGCGCGCUAAGUCGGGUGUGAAAUUUCGGAGCUUAACUCCGAAACUGCAUUCGAUACUGGCGUGCUUGAGGACUGGAGAGGAGACUGGAAUUCCCGGUGUAGCGGUGAAAUGCGCAGAUAGUCGGGAAGAACACCCGUGGCGAAGGCGGCUCUCUGGGACGGUACUGACGCUGAGACGCGAAAGCGUGGGGAGCGAACAGG